rnacentral:rRNA from 1 species
GACGAACGCUGGCGGCGUGCUUAACACAUGCAAGUCGAACGGAAAGGCCUGCUUUUCCUUGUGGAUUGCGUGUACUCGAGUGGCGAACGGGUGAGUAACACGUGAGUGAUCUGCCCCCAACUUGGGUAUAAGCCUGGGAAACUGGGUCGAAUUCUCGAUAGGACUGCAGGGUGGUGCCUGUGGUGGAAGACUAUUUUCUAGUUGUUGGUGAUUAGCCCACGGCUUAUCAGGUUGUUGGUGUGGUGAUUGACUACCACGGCGGGGACUGGUAGCCGGCCGGGGAGCGUGGACAGCGACAUUGGGACUGAGUUCCGGCCCCGACGCCUACGGGCGGCAGCAGUGGGGCAGCUAGGACAGUGGGCGGAAGGCUGAAGCAGCGCCGCAGCGUGGGGGAUGACGGCCUUCGGGUAGUAAACUACUUUCGACCGAGAGAAAGCCAACUGGUUGGAAGGGUGGUGACGGUAGUGGUAGAAGAAGCCCCGGCUAACUACGUG